rnacentral:rRNA from 1 species
AUUGAACGCUGGCGGCAGGCCUAACACAUGCAAGUCGAGCGGAUGAAGGGAGCUUGCUCCUGGAUCCAGCGGCGGACGGGUGAGUAAUGCAUAGGAAUCUGCCUGGUAGUGGGGGAUAACGUCCGGAAACGGGCGCUAAUACCGCCUACGUCCUGAGGGAGAAAGUGGGGGAUCUUCGGAACUUACGCUCUCAGAUGAGUCUAGGUCGGAUUAGCUAGUUGGUGGGGUAAAGGACUACCAAGGCGACGAUCCGUACCUGGUCUGAGAGGAUGAUCAGUCACACUGGAACUGAGACACGGUCCAUGCUCCUACGGGAGGCAGCAGUGGGGAACAUUGGACAAGAGGCGGAAGCCUGAUCCAGCCAUGCCGCGUGUGUGAAGAAGGUCUUCUGAUUGUAAAGCACUUUAUGUUGGGAGGAUGGGCAGUAAGUUAAUACCUUGCUGUUUUGACGUUACCAACAGAAGAAGCACCGGCUAACUUCGUG